rnacentral:rRNA from 1 species
GAUGAACGCUAGCGGCAGGCUUAAUACAUGCAAGUCGAGGGGCAUCAAGGUACACGAAAGUGUAUUGUUGGCGACCGGCGGACGGGUGAGUAAUAGGUAGGUAACCUACCUCAUACUGAGGCAUAGCUGGGAGAAAUUCCAGGUAAUUCCUCAUGAGGUUAUAUGACACAUGUGAUAUAAUCAAAGGUAUCGCAAGGUACUGGUAUGAGAUGGGCUUACUGACCAUUAGCUAGUUGGUGAGAUAAGAGCUCACCAAGGCGAAGAUGGUUAGGGGUUUUGAGAGAGAGAUCCCCCACAUUGGAACUGAGAUACGGUCCAGACUCCUACGGGAGGCAGCAGUAGGGAAUAUUGGGCAAUGGGCGAAGCCUGACCCAGCCAUGCCGCGUGAAGGAAGACGGCCUUAAUGGGUUGUAAACUUCUUUACUAUGCGACUAACUAGAUUUACGAGAUAAUUCUAUAGAAUGUAGCAUAGCAAAAGCACCGGA